UGGCGGACCGGGUGAGUAAUGUCUGGGAAACUGCCUGAUGGAGGGGGAUAACUACUGGAAACGGUAGCUAAUACCGCAUAACGUCGCAAGACCAAAGAGGGGGACCUUCGGGCCUCUUGCCAUCGGAUGUGCCCAGAUGGGAUUAGCUAGUAGGUGGGGUAACGGCUCACCUAGGCGACGAUCCCUAGCUGGUCUGAGAGGAUGACCAGCCACACUGGAACUGAGACACGGUCCAG
rnacentral:rRNA from 1 species